rnacentral:rRNA from 1 species
CCCUUAGAUGUUCUGGGCCGCACGCGCGCUACACUGAUACAUGCAACGAGUUUAUAACCUUGAUCUGACGGUCUGGGUAAUCUUCAAACUGUAUCGUGUUAGGGAUCGAUUCUUGCAGUUUUUAAUCGUAAACGAGGAAUUCCUAGUAAACGCAAGUCAUCAGCUUGCAUUGAUUACGUCCCUGCCCUUUGUACACACCGCCCGUCGACUCUACCGAUUGAAUGGUUCGGUGAAAACUUUGGACUGUGGCAUUGUCCUUCAUUGGACUUCGCCGUAGGAAAUUGUUUAAACCUCAUCAUUUAGAGGAAGAAUAAGUCGUAACA